rnacentral:lncRNA from 1 species
GGCUCCUGGACCAACCUUCCAGAGUCCGGUAGCUGCACAGCCCCAGAUCAUCCGGCCACGGACUGAUCCGGGAGGCCAGAAAGCCGGCAAGACGGAAUUGCCCGUCUUGGACGGUGCCGGCAGCGGACCGUCUGGGCGUCGGUUUGUGUCACUGGCAACCAUCACUCGCACUUAAACCGGGCCCAGGUGCCCAUAGAAGGCAGAAAUGGUGGACACGGAUCGCUCUCAAGGAUGCUCCGCUCCGAGCCCGUCACCUAGGAUCAUCUGGGCUGUUUCUGCUGUCCGGGGACGCCGCCGUGGAAGCGAUUCGGCAGGGCGCUCGCCACCAACCGCUCUCCAAGUUUGUGCUGAAUGGAGGCAAAAGGUUGGCUUUUCGCUUGCGGGGUGGUGGAAGGAAGCAGAACUUUGAUGACACUUCUCGGUCGGCUCUUGGCGUGUCUGUGACUGCCUUCGCUGAGAGGUGCGCUGCGGGUGUCCGGCGAGGAAGAAAGAAGGGUUCGCAGCGCGCGGGGCCUGGGCGUGGAGGUGCGCUUUGCGGCUCCGCUCCGCCCCGGGCUGCAGGGCCUGGACGGUUUCUGUUCAGUAGGGUGUGUGUUACGAGCGUGGAUAGGACAGAGAUCCAGACACAAAGACAGACAAGGCAUCAGUUACUGCAGUGGGCUGGAUCUGUGUGAACUCCGAGAGCGAGAUUCGGUAACUGGGUGCAGCUGGUGCGUGUGGCUCGGUGCACAUCGGAGUCUGUGCGUUCGAGGCUUGUGUGCGGAACUGGUUGUCCACGUGUUUCGACUGGGGUUGCCCGCGCUUGUGCCUCGGGGUCUCUGUCCACCUCUGCAUAACAAAUGGCAAGAAGAAGAUGGAUUGAAGCCUGGUAUUACUUGUAUUCUGCUAUAUAACAAAACUGAAGCAUAAGCGCUUAAAACAACAAUGGCUUAUUAUUUCUCAUGGUUCUGUAGAAGACUGGAUGAUUCUUCUGCUCGUCUUGCCUGGAUGACUCAUGAAACUGCAGUUGGGGCUGGAGAGUCAGUUCCUACCAGGUGCCAACCAUACUGCAGCACAGGAAUGGGAACUCAGCAGCAAAGGAAGCAAACAAGGUAGACAGACACAUGGAGUUUACAUUUCAGCGAGGAGACAGCCAUAAACAAGCAAAGAAGUAAUUCUCUCCAGACAAGGAUUUGUACCAUUACAUGAAGAAACUACAACAAUAACCACAGGCCCCAUGACAUCAUUACAUAUAAGGACAGCAGCUAUCAGACAAAGAAACCCACAUUUGAACCAGUGAUCUGUGAGAAGUGGGAUUCAAACUGGUGUGUUUGUCCCCCUUGAAAAGCAGGAAGAGGAAGGCGCUGGAGUGGUUUCUUUCAAAAUAAUAACAGAGCUUUCGUGACUAUUUCUGUGAGUGAGG